GAUGAACGCUGGCGGCGUGCUUAACACAUGCAAGUCGAACGAUGAAGCCCAGCUUGCUGGGUGGAUUAGUGGCAAACGGGUGAGUAACACGUGAGUAACCUGCCCUUAACUCUGGGAUAAGCCUGGGAAACUGGGUCUAAUACCGGAUAGGAGCGUCCACCGCAUGGUGGGUGUUGGAAAGAUUUAUCGGUUUUGGAUGGACUCGCGGCCUAUCAGCUUGUUGGUGAGGUAAUGGCUCACCAAGGCGACGACGGGUAGCCGGCCUGAGAGGGUGACCGGCCACACUGGGACUGAGACACGGCCCAGACUCCUACGGGAGGCAGCAGUGGGGAAUAUUGCACAAUGGGCGCAAGCCUGAUGCAGCGACGCCGCGUGGGGGAUGACGGCCUUCGGGUUGUAAACCUCUUUCAGUAGGGAAGAAGCGAAAGUGACGGUACCUGCAGAAGAAGCACCGGCUAACUACGUG
rnacentral:rRNA from 1 species